rnacentral:rRNA from 1 species
AGUGAACGCUGGCGGUAGGCCUAACACAUGCAAGUCGAACGGCAGCACAGUAAGAGCUUGCUCUUACGGGUGGCGAGUGGCGGACGGGUGAGGAAUACAUCGGAAUCUACUUUUUCGUGGGGGAUAACGUAGGGAAACUUACGCUAAUACCGCAUACGACCUACGGGUGAAAGCAGGGGAUCUUCGGACCUUGCGCGAUUGAAUGAGCCGAUGUCGGAUUAGCUAGUUGGCGGGGUAAAGGCCCACCAAGGCGACGAUCCGUAGCUGGUCUGAGAGGAUGAUCCGCCACACUGGAACUGAGACACGGUCCAGACUCCCACGGGAGGCAGCAGUGGGGAAUAUUGGACAAUGGGCGCAAGCCUGAUCCAGCCAUACCGCGUGGGUGAAGAAGGCCUUCGGGUUGUAAAGCCCUUUUGUUGGGAAAGAAAAGCAGCAGGUUAAUACCCCGCUGUUCUGACGGUACCCAAAGAAUAAGCACCGGCUAACUUCGUG